UCUUUUUAAGUACUAAUGAUAUUCCUCCUAUGACAACGUCACAUUAUUUAUCCAUUCGCUUUUUGGUGAAUAUUUUAGUUCUUUUGAAUUUUUUACUAUCACAGUGUUCUGGUGAUUAUCUUUGUGUCUCUCUGGGUAUAUUGUGCCACUUUCUCCAGGCUGUAUCCUUAGGAAGGAACUGCUAUCUCAUAGGAUGUAUUCAUCUGCCUAGUCAAUUAUUGCCAAAUUGCUUUUCAACAGGGCUAAAAGUAUUCACAUCCCAUCAGCAAUAUGUAAGCAUUGUUUAUAUCCUCACCAACCCUUAACAAUGUCAGAUUUUAUUUUUUGCCAACCAGUUAGUAUAACAUGGCAUGAUGAUAUAUGGUAUAACGAUAAGGAAUUAUUGUUUCAAUUUGUGUUUCUCCGGUUACUUAUGAGGUUGAGGUCCUUUUAGGAUUCCUUGCAAUUCUCUGUCCCCCAGAAGAAAAUGUUCCUGUCCUUUGCUUAUUUUUCUCCUUAGUCAUAAGUCUUAGUCUUUUUCUUAUUGAAAGUAGGACCUUUUGAUAUACAUUGAACAAAUAAGUCCGAAUUUGUCAUCUGUUUCAAAUGUCUUUUCUCAGUGUUUGUGGCCUGUCAUUAUAAUUUGUUGUAUCUUCUGGGCAAAAAAAUUUAUAUUUUAGUAUGAUUAUAUUUGAC
rnacentral:lncRNA from 1 species